rnacentral:sRNA from 1 species
UUUUAAACGGGAUUGAAGCGGCAUCCUCCCGAUCCCGAUUCUUCAUCGGAUUGGGAGAUACAGCGAAAAGCCCGACUAAAG